GCCAGUGGCAAGAAUCAAAUCCGACCCUCAGACAGAGAAAUAAGUUUUAGGGAAUCAUAUGCUAAAAGGGGAGGCAAGGCAUAUAUCCUUCACUAAUCUCCAAAUGCUUUACUUGAGAUCAAGUGUGGCAAGAAUCAAAUCCGACCCUCAGACAGAGAAAUAAGGUUUAGGGAAUCAUAUGCUAAAAGGGGAGGCAAGGCAUAUAUCCUUCACUAAUCUCCAAAUGCUUUACUUGAGAUCAAGUGUGAUCCUAAUUCUAUUAACAAUCUUUGCUUGCUAGCAACAAAUUCUUUAGACUAACAUAGUAGGCUAGAAUCAUAUGCCUUACCUAACCGAUGUUUACUUGAAAGAUGCCAAUUACAGGGACUUAUAUAAAGACUAGCCAUUGAUGAUCCAUUUCCACGAUCACCAUUUGAAACAAACACUUGAACUUAUUGCAAUUAAUUCACCUCUGCUUUUAUUCUGAAUCAAGGCAAUGGCAGAAGGAGUCCUCUUCAACAUUGCAGAAGGAAUCAUUGGAAGGUUAGGCUCCCUGGUUUUGCAAGAGAUUGCAUUGCCUUGGGGUGUCAAAGAUGAGCUCCGACAGCUUAAGGAUAAAGUUGACUCACUCCGAGCUGUUCUUCUUGAUGCUGAGCAAAAGCAAGCCAAGGAAAAUGAAGUCAAAGUGUGGCUCGAAAGCGUAGAAGAUGCAGUUUAUGAAGCUGAUGACGUGCUCGAUGAGUUUGAAGCUCGGUGGAGACAAAUGGUGCCUGGAAAUAAUAAAGUGUCAAAGCAGGUAUGCAUCUUCUUCUCUAGCUCAAAUCAGCUUGUUUUUGGGCUGAAAAUGGGUCAUAAGAUAAAAGAUCUUAACAAGAGACUUCAUGAGAUUGCCUCGAAUAGAACAUUUCUUCAGUUAGAAAGGAAUCGUGAAGAUGUAGAAUUUGUAAGAAGAGAGAGGGUCACUCACUCGUUUGUCCCGGAGGGUAAAAUAAUAGGGAGAGAUGUAGAAAAAGGAGAAAUUAUUCAACUUUUGUUGGAUUUGGAUCCCAUCUCUACAAAGAACACAGAGAAUGUGUCCACCAUUUCCAUUGUGGGAUUUGGAGGAAUGGGAAAAACUGCACUUGCCCAAUUCGUAUUCAACGAUGAAAAGGUUCAAAAGCAUUUUGAGCCGAAAAUGUGGACAUGUGUCUCUAAUUCAUUUCAGUUGGAUACACUUGUUAAGAAAAUCCUAAUAAAAACUGACAUGUCCUACAUGGAUCAGUUGCAAAAUGAGCUUAGGAAGAAGAUCGAUGGGAAGAGAUACCUCCUUGUGUUAGACGAUGUGUGGAAUGAGAAUCGUGAAAAAUGGCUUGCCUUAAAAGACUUGUUGAUGGGCGGUGGAAAAGGUAGUAAAAUACUAAUAACUACUCGUAGUGAAAAAGUUGCAAAAAUAACCGACACAUCUCAACCAUAUAACUUAAGGGGUUUAAGUGAAGAGCAGUCUUGGUUUUUGUUUAAGAAAAUGGCAUUCCAAGAAGGAAAAGAGCCAGAGAGUUCAACCAUUAAGGCGAUUGGGGAGGAGAUUGCUAGAAAAUGUCAGGGGGUUCCUCUUGCUAUAAGGACCAUAGGACGGAUGUUGUACACUAGAGAUCCAGAAACUGAGUGGUUGGCUUUCAAGAAUAACAAGCUUUCAACAAUAAGGCAAGAAGAAAAUGAUAUUUUACCAACACUUCAGCUGAGUUAUGAUGUUCUCCCAUCACAUUUGAAACAUUGUUUUGCUUAUUGUAGUUUGUCCCCGCCUGAUUAUGAGAUUCCCGUAGAGAAUUUAAUUAGGUUGUGGGUGGCACAAGGGUUCGUUAAGUCUUCAAAUCCUAAUGAGUGCUUGGAAGAUGUUGGUUAUGAAUAUUAUAAAGAACUAGUUUGGAGAUCUUUUUUCCAAGAAGAAGAAAAAGAUGAGUUUGGUAUAAUAAAAAGCUGUAAAAUGCAUGAUCUCAUGAAUGAACUUGCUGUUAAAGUGGCAGGGGAGGGAAGCACAAGAAUAGAUCGCAAUAAGACUGAUUUUGAUGCAAAACGUCUUCUUCAUGUAUCUUUCGAUUUCAAUGUUGAUUCAUCGGAAUGGAAAAUACCAACAUCCUUGCUGGAAUCAAAUAAGCUAAGGACUUUUCUUUUCCUAAGCCAAAAUGGGUGGGAGAUGUCAUUCCAUAAGUCAUUUUGUGCUACAAUUGCUUCAAAUUUUAAGUCAUUGCGUAUGUUGAGUUUGAAUGAAUUGAGUGUUACGAAAUUGCCAAAAUGUCUUAGGAAAAUGAUACAUUUAAGAUAUCUUGAUCUUAGUGGAAAUCCCAUUAAGAGACUUCCAAAUUGGAUAGUGAAACUUCAAAAUUUGGAAACACUAGAUCUCUCAAGAUGUGAGUAUCUUGUGGAAUUGCCUAGAGAUAUUAAGAAAUUGAUCAACUUGAGGCAUCUCAUUUUGGCAAAUUGUGACAACUUGGCUUGGAUUCCUCGUGGAUUGGGUGAAUUGACUCAUGUUCGUACUUUGAAUACAUUUGUUUUGAGUGAAAACAAAUCCAUGUUGAGGGACAGUGCAGGGCUCAGUGAGUUGGGAAAGCUGAAGGAUUUAAGAGGAAAGUUGAAGAUCAGAAAUUUGUGGUGCGAGCAAGAUAUGGUGUCAGAAUUGAAUUAUGAUUGUGCAGUUUUGAAGGAGAAACGACAUCUCUAUUCGUUGGCUUUAUAUUGGAUGGACAUUGAAAGAGAAAAUAAUGAUGCGGAGGAGAGUGAUGUAAUUAUAAAGUCAAUGGAAGCGCUGCAGCCCCAUUCGAGUCUAAAAAAGUUAGUCGUGAAAGGAUACCCGGGUGUGAGGUUUGCGAGUUGGUUUCAUUCUCUCACAAAUAUUGUUAAUCUCAAAUUGUCUGACUGUGAUAGAUGCCAACAUCUUCCACCGUUGGAUCAUUUACCUUUUCUUAAGAGUCUUCAUCUUAACGAGUUAUGGAAUUUGGAGCACAUAUCUGCAGAAGACAUGGUUAAAGACUUUGCCAGUGAUGAGACGAUGAUGAUGUCAGCUGCUUCUCCAUCGACGACCUUCUUUCCCUCCUUAGAGAGGCUUUCUCUAAUUGAUUGCCCUAAUCUCAAGGGAUGGUGGAGGAAUGAAACAGCUUCAACUUCAGUUUCUUCAUUUCCUUGUCUUUCUACUUUAUCCAUAUGUGAUUGUCCUAACUUGACUUUCAUGCCGCUGUACCCAAAUCUUGAUCAACUGCGGUUAGAGAGAAGCAGCUGGAAGGUCCUCCUUCCCUCCUCCUUUGUUCUCUCCAAAUUAAAAUCUCUGGAGAUUACGGGCGUUGAGGAUAUAGAAGAAGGGAUUGGAAACCUCACAUUACUUGAGAAGCUUCAAAUUAAUUAUUGUCCUAAUUUGGCAUCACUACCAGAUCAAGGGAUGGGUCGCCUCAUCUCCUUACAGGAACUGGACAUUUGGGAUUGCCCGAAAUUGGGGUCACUACCAGAAGGGAUGGGCAACCUCAAAUCACUUCAGUGGCUUAGGAUAGGGUAUUGCCCUAAUUUGGCAUCACUCCCGGAAGGGCUUCGUUGCCUCCUCUCAUUAAAAAGGUUGAUAAUUGAUGGUUGCCCCAUCUUAAAGCAAAGAUGCCAGAAAGAAACAGGGGAGGACUGGUCCAAGAUUGCUCACAUCCCAGACAUUAGCAUUGAUUGAGGUUAUGAAUUUUAAGGGUUGGUUCAGUGGAGAUUGGAUCCCCACUAAAAACUCUUAUGGCUUGAUUGUGAUUGUGCAACAGCAGGUCACCAAAAAUGUGGUAGUGAUUAAAAGAAGAAACUGAUUAGGCAUCCUGGCUUUGAUCAUACAAGUGACUCGGUUGUACUUGUAACUCUCAAAUUUCCUUAUAGCUUUUGACAUUGUGAAAGCAGUUUGUAUUUUGUCAUGAUGGCUGAUAUUUAUGAAUUAAAUUUCAGAUUCAUCUGCCAAGAAUGAGGUUAAUUCCCUUCAGUAUUCAUCUUUUGGUUGUACUUUAGUUAAUGAUUGAGUAAUAAUUUGGUUGUUUAAAUUAAGAGAUGUUAA